AAAUACUUUAUAAAGAAUAAUAUUACGUUUAUAAACUUGUGAGUUGUGAAUGAAUAACAAAAUAUAAUUGUUAGAAAUUGAUUAAUAAAAUUAAUUGAGGUGCCUCAAUGCAAAAUGUACUUUUAUAUUUUUCUCAUUUUUCAUUAUUGCAAGUUUUCUAUUUAGGGUAUUUUGAAUUGGUGAAGACCACAUUUAAAGGUAUU